rnacentral:rRNA from 1 species
UUCGUAGGCGGUCUGAUAAGUCGCAUGUUAAAGACCAAGGCUCAACCUUGGGAAUGCGUGCGAUACUGCCAGGCUAGAGAGUGGGAGAGGAAUGUAGAAUUCCUGGUGUAGCGGUGAAAUGCAUAGAUAUCAGGAAGAAUACCUGUGGCGAAGGCGGCAUUCUAGACCACUUCUGACGCUGAGGAACGAAAGCCAGGGGAGCGAACGGGAUUAGAUACCCCGGUAGUCCUGGCCGUAAACGAUGGACACUAGGUGUGGGAGGUAUCGACCCCUUCCGUGCCGCAGCUAACGCAUUAAGUGUCCCGCCUGGGGAGUACGGCCGCAAGGCUAAA